UGAGGGACGAAGGCUUUUGGGUCGUAAACCUCUUUUCCCUGAGAAGAAGAUCUGACGGUAUCAGGGGAAUCAGCAUCGGCUAACUUCGUGCCAGCAGCCGCGGUAAUACGAGGGAUGCAAGCGUUAUCCGGAAUUAUUGGGCGUAAAGCGUCCGCAGGUGGCUCUGUAAGUCUGUCGUUAAAGAAUGGGGCUUAACCCCAUACAGGCGAUGGAAACUACAAGGCUAGAGUUUGGUAGGGGUCACGGGAAUUCCUAGUGUAGCGGUGAAAUGCGUAGAUAUUAGGAAGAACACCAGCGGCGAAAGCGCGUGACUGGGCCAGUACUGACACUCAUGGACGAAAGCUAGGGGAGCGAAAGGGAUUAGAUACCCCUGUAGUCCUAGCCGUAAACGAUGAUAACUAGGUGUUGCCCGUAUCGACCCGGGCAGUGCCGUAGCCAACGCGUUAAGUUAUCCGCCUGGGGAGUACGCACGCAAGUGUGAAACUCAAAGGAAUUGACGGGGGCCCGCACAAGCGGUGGAGUAUGUGGUUUAAUUCGAUGCAACGCGAAGAACCUUACCAAGGCUUGACAUGUCGCGAAUUCCCUUGAAAGGGGGAAGUGCCUUCGGGAGCGCGAACACAGGUGGUGCAUGGCUGUCGUCAGCUCGUGUCGUGAGAUGUUGGGUUAACUCCCGCAACGAGCGCNNNNNNNNNNNNUAGUUGCCAUCAUUUAGUUGGGCACUCUAGAGAGACUGCCGUUGACAAACCGGAGGAAGGUGUGGAUGACGUCAAGUCAGCAUGCCCCUUACGCCUUGGGCUACACACGUACUACAAUGCUACGGACAAAGGGCUGCCAACUCGCGAGAGUGCGCUAAUCCCAUAAACCGUAGCUCAGUUCAGAUUGCAGGCUGCAACUCGCCUGCAUGAAGGCGGAAUCGCUAGUAAUCGCAGGUCAGCAUACUGCGGUGAAUACGUUCCCGGGCCUUGUACACACCGCCCGUCACACCAUGGAAGUUGGCCACGCCCGAAGUCGUUACCCUAACCGUAAGGAGGGGGGCGCCUAAGGCAGGGCUGAUGACUGGGGUGAAGUCGUAACAAGGUAGCCGUACCGGAAGGUGUGGCUGGAUCACCUCCUUUUAGGGAGACCUUACCCUUCUAACUCUGAAUUGAGU
rnacentral:rRNA from 1 species